rnacentral:rRNA from 1 species
UUAAAAAGCUCGUAGUUGGAUUUCGGAAUGGGCCAGUUGGUCCGCCGCAAGGUGAGUUACUGACUGGUCUGUUCUUCUUCGCAAAGACUGCGUGUGCGCUUUAUUGCGUGUACGUAGGAUUUACGACGUUUACUUUGAAAAAAUUAGAGUGUUCAAAGCAGGCUAUCGCUUGAAUACAUGAGCAUGGAAUAAUGGAGUAGGACUUUGGUCUUAUUUUGUUGGUUUCUGAGACCGAAGUAAUGAUUAAGAGGGACAAUUGGGGGCAUCCGUAUUUCGUUGUCAGAGGUGAAAUUCUUGGAUUUACGAAAGACGAACAACUGCGAAAGCAUUUGCCAAGAGUGUUUUCAUUAAUCAAGAACGAAAGUUAGGGGAUCGAAGACGAUCAGAUACCGUCCUAGUUCUAACCAUAAACGAUGUCGACUAGGGAUCAGCGAGUGUUAUUUUACGACCUCGUUGGCACCUUACGGGAAACCAAAGUUUUUGGAUUCCGGGGGAAGUAUAGUUGCAAAGCCGAAACUUAAAGGAAUUGACGGAAGGGCACCACCAGGAGUGGAGCCUGCGGCUUAAUUUGACUCAACA